CCACCACUAAGCCAGUGGUGAACUCCACAUACGCAUCCUUUGCUGAGGAUACGGUUAACGGAGCGAAAGCGACGUUCAACCUCAAAAGAAGCAGAGGGGGCUUAGUGGUGGGGUGACUGCGUACCUUUUGUAUAAUGGGUCAGCGACUUAUAUUCUGUAGCAAGGUUAACCGAAUAGGGGAGCCGGAGGGAAACCGAGUCUUAAUUGGGCGUUAAGUUGCAGGGUAUAGACCCGAAACCCGGUGAUCUAGCCAUGGGCAGGUUGAAGGUUGGGUAACACUAACUGGAGGACCGAACCGACUAAUGUUGAAAAAUUAGCGGAUGACCUGUGGCUGGGGGUGAAAGGCCAAUCAAACCGGGAGAUAGCUGGUUCUCCCCGAAAGCUAUUUAGGUAGCGCCUCGUGAAUUCAUCUCCGGGGGUAGAGCACUGUUUCGGCUAGGGGGCCAUCCCGGCUUACCAACCCGAUGCAAACUGCGAAUACCGGAGAAUGUUAUCACGGGAGACACACGGCGGGUGCUAACGUCCGUCGUGAAGAGGGAAACAACCCAGACCGCCAGCUAAGGUCCCAAAGUCAUGGUUAAGUGGGAAACGAUGUGGGAAGGCCCAGACAGCCAGGAUGUUGGCUUAGAAGCAGCCAUCAUUUAAAGAAAGCGUAAUAGCUCACUGGUCGAGUCGGCCUGCGCGGAAGAUGUAACGGGGCUAAACCAUGCACCGAAGCUGCGGCAGCGAACGUAUCACUUAAAGCGAUUCAGCGGAUGACGGUUGACGGAGCGAAGCGACGUCAAAGCGUAUACAAAGUCGAGUCGGUUUAAGGAUACGUUCGUUGGGUAGGGGAGCGUUCUGUAAGCCUGUGAAGGUGUGCUGUGAGGCAUG
rnacentral:rRNA from 1 species